rnacentral:rRNA from 1 species
UACAGAGGGUGCGAGCGUUAAUCGGAAUUACUGGGCGUAAAGCGUGCGUAGACGGUUAUGUAAGUCAGGUGUGAAAGCCCUGGGCUCAACCUGGGAACUGCGAUGGAUACUGAGGAGCUGGAGUACGGUAGAGGAAGGUGGAAUUCCCGGUGUGGCGGUGAAAUGCGUAGAGAUCGGGAGGAACAUCAGUGGCGAAGGCGGCCUUCUGGACCAGUACUGACGCUGAGGCACGAAAGCGUGGGGAGCAAACAGG